UACGAAGGGUGCAAGCGUUAUUCGGAAUCACUGGGCGUAAAGGGUGCGUAGACGGUACAUUAAGUUCGUUGUUAAAGGCUCCGGCCUAACUGGAGUAUUGCGAUGAAAACUGGUGAGCUAGAGGGUGAGAGAGAGAAGUGGAAUUCCCGGAGUAGCGGUAAAAUGCGUGGAUCUCGGGAGGAACACCAAUGGCGAAGGCAGCUUCUUGGCUCAUUCCUGACGUUGAGGCACGAAAGCGUGGGGAGCAAACAGG
rnacentral:rRNA from 1 species